UGAGCCUGCGUAAGAUUAGCUUGUUGGUGAGGUAAAGGCUCACCAAGGCAACGAUCUUUAGCUGGUCUGAGAGGACGAUCAGCCACAUUGGGACUGAGACACGGCCCAGACUCCUACGGGAGGCAGCAGUGGGGAAUAUUGGACAAUGGGCGCAAGCCUGAUCCAGCCAUACCGCGUGUGUGAAGAAGGCCUUCGGGUUGUAAAGCACUUUAAGUAAGGAAGAAAAGAGUAUUGUUAAUACCAAUACUCCGUGACAUUACUUACAGAAUAAGGACCGGCUAAU
rnacentral:rRNA from 1 species